AAUAAACAGAAUACGAGACGUCAGCUCUGGGUGGAAACCGCGGUAGUAAGGCUUGGGGAGGGUAGCCGUGCGGUCGCUAACGGCAGAUCCGCGCGGUCUAAAGGUCAGCCUGUUUCUGUGUUGAGUGAGGCAGAGGUCAAGCUGGGUCGCCCUAUAUCCGACUCUGGCAGCCAGACACCUGACACGCUUGGCGUGGUCUAUACAAGCAGGCACAAGCGGUUGUGUGGGGCUGCAUGAGGAGCCCCACCCUCGCAGACACCAUCCAAUGUUGCCCUUUCACAUCUCGUGGCAGGGCGGUUGUGUCAACCUUUCGGCUCUGAAGCACCAACUCGCUUCUGAAAUUCCACUCAACUAACACCAUCUCAAUACAAGAUGUCUCCAAAACCACACGGUCGAAGUUCGAUUGGCUGACACUUGAAAUCUGGCAGGUGACGCAAGAUAACCUUCCGCCACAACAUACGCAUGUUUCCAGGAGGACGACGCACCUCGUUGAAUGUAGCGGAUGAUGCUGUUGGCAUUCUGGCAAGGCUUGCAAUUGCCGAGGACGCCCCACACCUCAGGGAAUGGAGCAAGAAUAGAGGGGGUCUGUUGAAGUCUGCAGCAAGACGGGAGGAAGGGCGCUGGAGGAGAAUUAGUAAAAUCUGGAGAGAUGUAGCUGAUCUGGUUCAUGUUUCUAGCUUGAUUUUUAACGGUCAUAAUCGGAUUCCCGUGUCCUUCCCUCCCCUAUCCCCCUUUCCUGCAGCGAACAACCGG